rnacentral:lncRNA from 1 species
UUAAAAGGGUCUUUUCUGGUGGAGCCUUGAUGCUUACAACUAUGGAUGGUGAAGAUUUUCCGUCUCCUGUGAAUUCAGAUGUAGUCAAAAAAUACUUCGCAUAAACUGACCCAAUGGACAAAAAAAGAAAGUCCAGGCAAAAAAGGGCAUCCCGGCGAACCAAGAGAAAAAGAAAAGAAAAAGGUUCGGGCAAAAGUUAGGGAUAAAGAAUAAAAAAAUAAAAAAU